rnacentral:lncRNA from 1 species
UUGCUGUUCGCCCCCCUCCCCUCACACACACACACAUUCAGGCCCAUUUCUCCAUUUUAUUUUUCAUUUCCAUUCUUUUAUUCAUUUUUUUAUUUUGUUUUGUUUUUAAUUAAUAAAAAUAUUUUAUUUAUUUAUAAAAAUACCAAAAAAUAUUUUUUACUUUCCUUAUUGUCUUAUUUAAUUUUUUUUAAUUUUAAUUUUCGUUUUUA